AGUUAUUGACUGAGUGGCGGACGGGUGAGUAACGCGUGGGUAACCUACCUUGUACAGGGGGACAACAGUUGGAAACGACUGCUAAUACCGCAUAAGCGCACAGCAUCGCAUGAUGCAGUGUGAAAAGUUUUUUCGGUACAAGAUGGACCCGCGUCUGAUUAGCUAGUUGGUGAGGUAACGGCCCACCAAGGCGACGAUCAGUAGCCGACCUGAGAGGGUGACCGGCCACAUUGGGACUGAGACACGGCCUAAACUCCUACGGGAGGCAGCAGUGGGGAAUAUUGCACAAUGGGCGCAAGCCUGAUGCAGCGACGCCGCGUGAGCGAAGAAGUAUUUCGGUAUGUAAAGCUCUAUCAGCAGGGAAGAUAAUGACGGUACCUGACUAAGAAGCACCGGCUAAAUACGUGCCAGCAGCCGCGGUAAUACGUAUGGUGCAAGCGUUAUCCGGAUUUACUGGGUGUAAAGGGAGCGUAGGCGGUUUUACAAGUCUGAUGUGAAAGCCCCGGGGCUCAACUCCGGUAUUGCA
rnacentral:rRNA from 1 species